AAGUAAUUUUCUUCCUGGGACAGGGGCACAUUUUCUUAGUUAAGUAUGGCUAGUGAGUGAAAGUACUAUUUGCUUUGAAAAAGACAGAAAUAAAGACGGGCAACAAUUCCAAUUCUCUGGCUUUAUCAAAGCUACUUUUCUGCUCAGUGAAAUUCCAGAGGCAAUCCUUCGUCUGAAGAACCACUCAAAAAUAUAACAUCAUCUCUGUAGAACAGAAGCUGCAGAGGCACAAAAAGCAAAAGAUGACCCAGAACAAACAGGAAGACAUGGAAAACCUGGAGAGAGCAGACUAAAGAGUUUUAUAGAAGUCUAGUCCAUGCUCAGAACCAAAUGGGAAUUGGAGAAGUAAUUAGGGAGGAAGGGGACUGAUGUACACUGGAUGAAGUAACCAGUCAGAGCAGAGGAGGAAUUCAAUACGAAGAAGGGUAUGUAGAGGAGAUAUUUGAAAGGCAAAAACAAGGAGUGAAACUGAAUGUGAAAAAUGAAAACUACCCACCUGGUGAAAAGAAGGG